UACAGAGGUCCCAAGCGUUGUUCGGAUUCACUGGGCGUAAAGGGUGCGUAGGCGGUCGGGUAAGUCUGAUGUGAAAUCUCACAGCUUAACUGUGAAACUGCAUUGGAUACUAUUCGGCUUGAGAGUUGGAGGGGGGACUGGAAUUCUUGGUGUAGCGGUGAAAUGCGUAGAUAUCUGGAGGAACACCGGUGGCGAAGGCGGCAUCCUGGACCAACACUGACACUGAGGAGCGAAAGCCAGGGGAGCAAACGGG
rnacentral:rRNA from 1 species